rnacentral:rRNA from 1 species
UACGAAGGGUGCAGGCGUUAAUCGGAAUUACUGGGCGUAAAGGGUGCGUAGGCGGUUGUUUAAGUCUGCCGUGAAAUCCCCGGGCUCAACCUGGGAAUGGCGGUGGAUACUGGGCAGCUAGAGUGUGUCAGAGGAUGGUGGAAUUCCCGGUGUAGCGGUGAAAUGCGUAGAGAUCGGGAGGAACACCAGUGGCGAAGGCGGCCUUCUGGACCAGUACUGACGCUCAUGCACGAAAGCGUGGGGAGCAAACAGG